UCUGACCCAUGCUCGUAUAUUAUGUUUACCUCAAAGGUAAUAUUGUGUAUCAGCAUGCAGCAUAUCUGGGGUUUGUUUUUGUAAUUGCUUAACCCCAGUACUGCUUUCAUACAUCUGAACUCUUAUCAAAGGUAUUCAAAAGUGGGAAUAAUAUGUCUUUUCUAUGUGAGUAUCUAUUUUUACUAGUUUGUCCUUCAUUUUCAAGACAGUACGAUGAACCAAAAGGGAGAUUUGUCUACUAUUCUCAGCAAGUUGAGUAACAGUGUACAAAUACUUUUGUUGAAUUUGUUUCAUAUAGAAGUUGUUUACUCAAAGCUAUAAUUUUGUAAGAACAGUUUUUUCAUAGUCUUGAAUCUUUAAAACCUGUUAUUUAAGGCAAAUAUUUCUAUUUAUAAUGUGUCCAAUGAAUGCAUUCUUGUUUGUUUGUGCCUUAGGGAUCGUUUUAUUCCUUUGCUUUUUUUCUAUAGCAGAAUUAUCUUUUAUCAUUCUAGAUAUCACUACACAUCUAUCCUAAACUCAGUUCACUAUUCCAUUUAGUGGCUCUUAUAUUUUGUUAUAACAAACACAUUAUUUUAUCCAACAUCUACUAUCUAUACUUAUGAGAAUAUUAGCAAACUAUAUAGGUAUUGAUAUGAGAUGAUGUUGAAUGUUAAAUGCCUGUAUGUACGUUGCUCAUAGCAUUCUUUAAUCUCAGUUGCUACUUAAGUGGGUUUUCUAAAGUGCAUUCUGCAAGAUAUAAGAGUUAUUUGAGCCUGUUCUAUGAAGGUUCAUAAUCUGUUGAUGAUUAUACUUCAUGUCUAGUCCAUAUAAAAUCUAAUCAGAUUCUGGUAAAAGCCAAGCUAGAAAGCUAAUCAAUGGAAAAGUAUGACAAUGCAGGACACCCCAAUGGUUGGUACUAAUUGCAGACAAUGUUGACACUUGUUUAGCUGAUUGGUAUAAUUGAAACUAUUACUAUUAAUACUAACAAUACCAAAACAUAUCCUACUUAACAACACUACCAAAUAAAUUAUAACACUGUCUAAAGACAGCCUCAAUUUUGAAUUUCAGCAAAUAAUAUCCUCUGUAACUGUACAUGUUGUUAUUACCAUCUGACUGAAUAUUUGAUUUGUUUUUCAGGCUGUAAAUGUUUCCAUGUUAAUAAUUUGAUGCCUGUAUGAAGUGGGACCAUUAUAACACUCUUGUAGUAGCAUCAGACAACAUUGAAAAUAAUUUAUUUUGUCCAUCUUAAUUUCUGCAUUGUUGUUACUCUGAGGUGCAACAGCAUUCUGAGGAAAAUGCAACCAACUAAUCUCUUUCUAUGUGAGAUUCGGGCUUCUGCCUCUACUAGAAAUUUAUAUAGCAAUUAUAAAUAAACUGUUAUUGUUAUUAUC